rnacentral:rRNA from 1 species
UACGUAGGGUGCGAGCGUUAAUCGGAAUUACUGGGCGUAAAGCGUGCGCAGGCGGUCUGUUAAGACCGAUGUGAAAUCCCCGGGCUUAACCUGGGAACUGCAUUGGUGACUGGCAGGCUUUGAGUGUGGCAGAGGGAGGUAGAAUUCCACGUGUAGCAGUGAAAUGCGUAGAGAUGUGGAGGAAUACCGAUGGCGAAGGCAGCCCCCUGGGAUAACACUGACGCUCAUGCACGAAAGCGUGGGGGAGCAAAACAGG